GAACGCACAUUGCGCCCAUUAGUAUUCUAUUGGGCAUGCCUGUUCGAGCGUCAUUUUGACCACUUAAGCCUAGCUUAGUGUUGGGAAUCUACGUUUGUAGUUCCUUAAAUCUAGUGGCGGAGCCGCAGUGGCCUCUGAGCGUAGUAAUUUUUUCUCGCUUUCGAAGGUUCUGUAGUUUUUGCCGUUAAACCCCCAAUUUUUUAAGGUUGACCUCGGAUCAGGUAGGAAUACCCGCUGAACUUAAG
rnacentral:misc_RNA from 1 species